AAUCUCAUCAAAAAUAAACUUUUGUUGAAAUUAGCCCAAAAUUGUGACCUGAACACUUUCCCAAGGCCCAUAUAAUUGUCGGGAGGACUCGGCAAAAACAAAGAAGCGUUGGAGUUGGUUCAGCCGCCAUAAAUUAACUGUUUUUCAAAAACUGAAAAGAAAAACAUCGAACUCAAACAUCGGAUCGAUUCCCUCAAGUUCAAGACAUGACAUCAUUCGUCCUACACGGCCUCCCCGAUGAUCUUCGUUCUACGGGUGGAUCAAUUUGGGUAUGUCAAAUGUGCCCAGUUGUUAUUCGAUCAAAUGCCAAGCCCAGAUUUUUAUUUGGGAGGAAAGUGAUGCUAAGGUGGUAUUGUGUGCACCACUUGUAUGACAAUAUGCGUCAGAGAGCAUGACAAUAAGUUCCAAGAGGCUCGGACUCAAUUACAAUACUUCAGUUAAGGGAGGAGGGUGCACUGCCGGAUUGUUCAGGUGGCGAGGCCUGAGAGCUUUUGUUGGCGAGGCCACAUUUUAUGGUGAGGGAGGGUGAUGCCUCUGGCACAACCACAAUGCUUUUUGGAGUUCGAAUUGAAGUUACUGUGCAACGGCAGCAAUCUAACAUGUUCCAUACUACCUUGCAAUGCAGCAAUGGAGAUGACCCCUGUUCUAAUUUGGCAGAACGGUAGGACACCAGACGUAUAUAGGAAAUAUUGGAGCGAACCAUCAAAAGGUCCUUCCAAGAAGAACUUGGAUCGAGAGCCUACUUAUAGUGCUUGAGACAUGCUUUCUGGUGAGGGGUUAAUUCUCAUAAAUACAAGAUUCACAUGUACGUUGUUUAAAAAAUAAAAACUUCUAAAAGUUCAAUUGGACUCCUUUCAAAUGCAGGGAUGAUGGAAAAUUUGCAAUAUGUGUAGUAAUGUAUAUUGUUUCGAAUAGGAGCAGUUUAUGUAUAAUACGUAAAUAUAAGACCUGUAGGAUGAGAACUAAAUACAUUUGAAAUGAAUCUGAAUAUACUUAUGCUGAGAUUUGAUGCCUUUGACGUCUUUUUUUACGACAUUUUUUCAAUUGUUCUACAUGAGAGAAAGAUGCGAAGAAAUGGAACAGAGAGAUCUUUGUUGUUUCUGCAUUUGACUGAUGUAAAUAGUCAUGUUUAUUCGGAUUGUUUGGUUGAAGUUGAGCAAUACCGAAGUUUCAUUUAAAAAAAGAAAACCUAAGACCACAGCUACAUCUAAAAGUAUUCUAUUACUCCCUCUUUCUUCGUAACAAUAUGAAUGUGUAAAUCAGAUAAGUAGGUCAACAUACAUGGGCUGAUUGUUUGAGGAAAAACUGAAUUGUAGAAAGAAAGAAAAUAGCACAAUUUGUUUUUUCAUAGCGAAUUAUUCCUGUGUUAGAGAAAUAAUAGGAAAUAAAGCGGUUUUAUUUUUUUGGUUUUCUUGAAGAAGUUAUUCUUUUGUUUUUUCUUUGUUCCUUUGCUUUACCAUCAUUAUUGAGGAUUCAGAUGAAGGCGAUGCUGUAGAGGAUUCCAUUCCCUUGGAUAAUGGCGUGCCCAUUGACUUUGGCGCUAUUGAGGUUGUCCAGUGCCUCAUGGCACAUCACAAUGCUUUUUUCACAGAUGCCUACGAAACGAUCUGUAGAUGACACACAUUGCUUGUUUCCUCAUACAGCAUGGGACUAAUUGAGUUGGACAGUCCAACUGAUAAUGUUUCCAGAAUGAAAUCAGAUCUGGUUGAGAUGACGAUUACACAUUAGAAGAUGUUAUGACCUUUUCCAAUCCUUUUGAUUUGGGCUCAUUUGUUGUCCUUGAAAACCCUAAUGUGUAUUUUCCUACUAAUCUCGUGUUUAGCUCCACCUAGAUAUUUAUCACAUUUGUUGUUAAAAUUCCGUUCCCUCGAAUUAGUUUUUUGUUUGAUGCAUUGAAACUGUUGCUGUGGGGAAGCUUUCAUUGAGUCUCACUUGUUUUAGCAAAGAAAGUGUACCUGUGUUUGGCACUCAGCUUUACCUUGCUAUCAAGAAUCUUUUACCAUUCUCACAUUUUAUAUCCAUAACAAUGGAUUUUCUCAACACUGCUUCUCCUGCACCAAGAAAGGAGUAUGAGACAAACACAGGCUGACAACUGGAGCUCUGCAGCUGGCUGAGGGUUCACACUUGAUCUUUGCUGAGACCUAGUUGGAAGCUGGGACUCUCAACUCUGUCGGGGUUGAAAAUGCAAGAGUGCUAAAAACUCUAAUGGAGUUGCAAAAGAAGGUAAAUCAAACAUUUUGCAUGUUGCUGUAGUGUUAAGUUCCCACCCUUGUUCAAUUGGUUCCUCUGAAGUUGCUGCAGAAGCACUAGAGGUUUGGUGAUGGUACUUGGCUACUCUUAGAUCAUUGCCGCAUUCUAUUGAGUCAGAAAUGCAGAAGGUAAGAGUUAGCUUGACAUCAACAAUUAACCUCUUAAACUGAGUAGAACUGUCAUGGUCUGAUACCUUACAGGUGAUACAACAUGACUUGGUUGCUGCAAGGCAAGAAGACAGGAAACUGCGCCACUGCAGGCCAACUAUUAUGCAAAUCCCAAACACUACAACCCUGUUUUCCGUGAAAUAAAUUGCCCCUUAUGCAUCUGUAAUUGGUAUGCUUUACACGCUGCUAUCAACUUUUUCAGGCAAAACAGUAGGGUUAAUGACAUUUACUGAGUGUUUUACUUGGAAUAUAAAUUAAGAAGGAUUCUGGAAAUAUUACGGUUAUCCAUUUCAUCUUUUCGUAAUGAUAAUUUUAUUUUUCACAAAUUUUCGGCUGGCAGUGAAUUGCAUGUA